rnacentral:rRNA from 1 species
AUUGAACGCUGGCGGCAGGCCUAACACAUGCAAGUCGAACGAGUGGCGGACGGGUGAGUAAUGUCUGGGAAACUGCCUGAUGGAGGGGGAUAACUACUGGAAACGGUAGCUAAUACCGCCUACCAUCGUAUGUGCCCAGGUGGGAUUAGCUAGUAGGUGGGGUAAAGGCUCACAUAGGCGACGAUCCCUAGCUGGUCUGAGAGGAUGACGAGCCACACUGGAACUGGGACACGGUCCAGACUCCUACGGGAGGCAGAAGUGGGGAAUAUUGGACAAGGAGGGCAGGCCUGAGGCAGCAAUGCCGCGGGUAUGAAGAAGGCCUUCGGGUUGAAAAGUACUUUCAGCGGGGAGGCGUUACCCGAAGAAGAAGCACCGGCUAACUCCGUGCCAGCAGCCGCGGUAAUAC